rnacentral:lncRNA from 1 species
GCAUGUUUCUACUAAUCAUAGACUAUAGUCGUAGAUCAGUCUACCAAUCAUGGAUUGGAGCCGUGGAAAUCAAACUCUUUUCCACUGAUCUAGUCUUUCAACUAUAGACCUAGUUCAUGAGUCAUAGUAUCCAUCCGUGGAAAUCAAAAACUUAUUUUUUUGCAGUAUCUUGUUUACGAUUUGAUUCCACUGGUUGUGGACUAAGUCUACAAUUGAUAGACCCCACCCAUGGAAUUCAAAAUUUUGCCUUCCUCUUAAGAACUUCAUUCACAAACAUGUUUGACAGUUUUUAGAUGAUUCCAUAAUCCAUGGAUGCUUUCCACAGCUCUUCCCUUAGUCAAUUUUGAUCCUUUUUUCUCCAUUUUGCCUCUAAAUCCUAUUCUCCUGCACAAUAUUACAAAACCACAUCAUACUUACCAAAAAUACCUAUGUUCUUGUAUAUUUUCCCAUCUUAAGCAUAGAAAGUGCCAUGAAUUCAUGAAAUAUUGAUACUCUCAACUUAGAACGUUUUCAUAUCCUCAGAAAAACAAAACAAAACAAACACAUACAAUGCUUAACUAAGAGAAACCUAAGGGACCUAUGAUAGUCAAUUUUUUGUUUUUAGCACGAAAUUCAACCCCCUCCUAUAAAAAAAAAAUCAAAAAUCCAUCAUGUGUAUACAUGCAGUACAUUAUGAUGACACAAAAAGGAUUAAGUUAUGACAUCAGAUUGCGAUUAAACAACCAAGUACAUACACAAUAGACAUUACCCAAACCAAUAACAGCCUACAAUGUAACCUAUGUACUGUCACAUCAAAGAAGUACGCUACACUAACCGUAUAACAAUGAAGAUCAAUAUAUGGACUGAAUAAAAGCACUCACUCACAAAAAACUUGAGAAAGUGUGCGUGAAAUAUCAUAGGCUUGUCCUUAUUUUCUAUGCCUUUGUUUCUCGGUCAGUUGGACUAAGAUCACUAUAGGACUUUUAUCGGCAUGUAAUGUAGGCUUAAGGAUGGGUGUGGUAAACAUGGAUAAUGUGACUUAACCCUUCGUGAUACUACACUUAUUUUUGGGUUCCACUUUUUGACCUUACUUAUUUUAUUCUCCAUUGCUUUUUCUUUUUCAGAUUUCAGGUGUGGUUUUCUCUCUACACCUUUUUUCUCUUUUAAUUUUUUAGCGAACUUUAUUCAUCACUCCCCUUUUUACCACACCUAAAUAUAUAUUCUUUUGUUUUACUAACUUCUUAUUCAUACCUAUAUCAGCCUACACAUCCCCCUAUGAUAGCCACUCUUAACUUAGGUAAUUUGCCUGAGUUAAGUACACAAUAUCCAAGAAAGGAUCAAGGCCAAGACAUGUUCAUUGUAAGUAGAAAUGGCAAGGUGAAUAGGCAAAUGAAAAAAGUGGUUGAUUAGAGCUCAAAUUUAGGAUCAAGUAUACUUAUUUCAUUUGGUCGGGCUUUUAGACUACUAUAGACUUAUUCAAGAAUGACCUAUGAUCCUUUCCCAAGCAACUACCCUACAUCCUAGGCAAAACUAACUGAAAAAGUUUUUGAUUACACACACAAAGUAAACUCGGUAAACAAUCUUACACUAUAUUGGGUUAUACUAUCGACUAUUACCUAUCCAGUUCAUGCAUUACUAAGCUAUGAUUAUUUUGUCUAUGAUCUAAAGCUAUGAAAAGAUCCAACAAUGGUCAUAAUUUAACUCAACUAUAACAAGCAGUCUAAAAUAAAAUUUCAGUAGGGGUAGUCUUUAAACAUCAAAAAUCAAUUUUGAAUCAUUCAAAACUAGUUUGCACUAAGGUUUCUUAUUUUUCUCCUAGUUAUAUGCAAAAAAACAUAGUAAAAACAAAACACAAAAACAUCCUAGACAUAUCGAUUCUACCAUGAUACCACACGCGGGGGAAAGAAAAUACGACAAAUAAAACUACUUAGUGGUGGUAUAACCCCACCCCAACUCUGAGAUGAUGCACUAUUCUCAAUGCAUAACUAUAUAAAUAAUAAGACCAAGGGAGUGAAUACAUACCUACGGUGAUCUAUGCGUCGGAUAUGGACUCGCCCGUAGUUGGGAUGUUAGGAGGCACCUCAAGUUCAAAGCUAGAUGGUGGUAGAUACUGACUGGAUAAGGCUCCUAAGUCCUAUUAUUCAUGAGCAAUCAUAUCGACAUGAUACUCAAUUUAGGAUACCUUAUUUGACCUCCUUAGGUCUUUCUUAAAAUCUUUAGGAAUCGUACUAUGGACCUUAGUUCUUCGUGCCCUCCUACCUCUGUUAGUAGGGGGAUCGUCAUCUAUAAAAAGAUCAAACACCAGUACUGGUGCUAUAGAAAUCGACUGGAGAAUGUGUGGUAUAAUAGAAGUAUGGUUAGUCAUUAAUGAUCUGACCACUUACCUUAAUGUAGCCCACCCCUCUAGACAAAUUUAAAAUAUAGGACUCAUGCAGUAGGUCGCCUAUCUAACUCUUAAAACUAUCAAUCUACUCAUUCAACUCUCUCAAAACCUUUUUCAUUACUAUCAUCACUCAAACCUUUACAUGUGUCUCAGAUAUCUCAAUUAAAGUUCGAACCCUUAGCUUUAUCUGGGAUAGCAACUUGGCCAACUAGGUAUCAGUAUGCAUCUGCUUCUCAACUAACUGUGUCUGCUUAUUAACUAAAUACUGGAGAAAAUCAUUUGACACCAAAACCAUUGCAAAAAUGGGUGGAUGUAGAGGUACAAUAGAUGUAAAUAACCCUUCACAACCUACCAGGAUUGUGCUCUUAGUAGGCUAUCUCAGAAACUCUCUCUCACCACUCGGUGUUGGUGUGUCUACCUGCUCAAUCAUAUCUAAUUGCCCUUUAAAUAAGGUUAUAAUCAAUGGCGUUGAAG